rnacentral:rRNA from 1 species
GACGAACGCUGGCGGCGUGCUUAACACAUGCAAGUCGAACGGAAAGGCCCUGCUUUUGUGGGGUGCUCGAGUGGCGAACGGGUGAGUAACACGUGAGUAACCUGCCCUUGACUUUGGGAUAACUUCAGGAAACUGGGGCUAAUACCGGAUAGGAGCUCCUGCUGCAUGGUGGGGGUUGGAAAGUUUCGGCGGUUGGGGAUGGACUCGCGGCUUAUCAGCUUGUUGGUGGGGUAGUGGCUUACCAAGGCUUUGACGGGUAGCCGGCCUGAGAGGGUGACCGGCCACAUGGGGACUGAGAUACGGCCCAGACUCCUACGGGAGGCAGCAGUGGGGAAUAUUGCAAAAUGGGCGGAAGCCUGAUGCAGCAACGCCGCGUGCGGGAUGACGGCCUUCGGGUGGUAAACCGCUUUCGCCUGUGACGAAGCGUGAGUGACGGUAAUGGGGAAAGAAGCACCGGCGAACUACGU